AUUUUGCACCACCACUCUGCAUUAGCCUAUUGCUGGUCCAUUAGCCAAUAAUUAGCUGUAAAAUGGUGAUAAAAGUGUUAAUCUCAACUCUCCUGGGUUACCGGUUUAGGAACCCGAUCACGUCCUGCUGAGUUUGCAGUCAUGCAAAUCCACUUUCCAUGUCCAGAUGAUUGAAUGAACAAAAGCUCUGUGAAAUAUUCAAAUGCUGCAACACUGUUUUGGAACUCAGCACUGCUUUCGAAACGUACCAACGUCUUCCUCCUCGACCUCUUCGCUGUGUUUCUUCAUUUCCAAGAUGGCGUUUGAUUUCCUCUAACCAACCACCGAAUCCUCAAGAGGACAGCCGGACUUAUCCUGGGAUUCGAAGGAAACUUUGCUCUGAAAUUUACGUACAAACAUCAAAGUAAAGGAAACUAAACGCAAAUGCACGCCACACAUUUCAGACUCCAUAUCAGUUUUCCUUCACCUCACAGGUUAUGGUCAUGGAGAUUGUGUGGGAGAUCGUGAGAAGUCAAUCUGCACUAUUCUUUACUUCUUUUUCUUUUUUUCUCGUGAGAUAGCGAGCCCCUCUACUAGAAGCGCAGAAAAGUUUGAGAUCCAGACAGCCGCCGAGUCGGACAGCAGAUGAUAGACAGACACUCGGCAUACAGAUGGACCUGCCUGUGCCCUCUGCAGCAGCAGCAGCAGCCAUAAAACAAACCGCUUUACCUUUCAUCCCCAUUUCUCUGCGCUACCUGUUAACCUGUGACCCCGGCAACCACAAUCUCCUGCAUCCUGACCUUUGGCCUUUCUCUCCCCCCCCCUCCCGCCCAAUCCUGUAAUUCAUCAAACAAACUCUGUUACUUCGGCGUUUUCUUUAAGUGAAACAGUGUGCAUUUCCCAACAACAGGCUGGCUACACCACCGAAGCGAGAGCUGCGGACCGCCGGGAAGCGAUCAACAAAUCGUAACGAGAAGACGGGGCCGAGCGGGACGGCCGAUGUGCUGCUUGCCUGUGUUCGUAAUCUCGGCAGAGAUUGAAACCAGAUGUCACGAUGAGGAGAGCCGGGAGGCCGAAGGAGGAGGACUCAGAGGAGAGAUGGUAGGUGAAGGGCAGGGGAGAAGAAUAACAGCGUGUAACCCCUGACUGGCUCGGGUUUAAAUCCCAAAUGCCAGCCGUGGAAUGGCAGAAAGAAAACGAGAACCAGUGAGAGCGCUCUGCCAGACCUCAUAAAUCUGCUGAUUUUCCUGGUUUUAAUAAACUUGACAGGACUUGGCGUAAAGUUUUGAAGGGUUGUCACCAGACCUUCCUUCCUUUAUGUUACUAAAGGAAUAUUUCCUUUUUCAUUUUACGUCUUUUUCUCUACAUCAGCGAUACACAAACGGCGACAAUACGACUCCCAAAAAGCCAAUUUGCUUAAUCUGUGACUUGUGAUGACUUCAGUUUGGGAGUUUUUUUUGACCUGCUUCUUUAAAGGAGCAAAAAACAUAAAAAUCUCAGUUUUCAAGAUGAGUUCACUGACCAGAAAGUGAACAACCCCACAGUACUUUGUAAUCAGUUGCAGCAAUGUUCGCCCCCUGCUACAGAAAAACAGCAGGGUCGCAGUAAAUGUCACAAAGUGGUGAAAGAGUGUAUUAUUUGAAUAUGACAAUAAAAGAAGAGAAAAAAAAUAAAAACACUGGUUUUAAAAAACAAGAAGACAAGCAAUCAGUAGGACAGAAAAGUUGUUUACCAUUACUUUUCUGUUUGAAAAGGAGGAGGAAGAAGUUAACACUUACUGUAUGUAAGCCCACUCCUUAUCUCGGUUUAAUAAAAUAUAUUACCUACCAACCCACUAAUUAUCAACAAUUUGUAAUUAAAAUCAUGUUAUAAUAUCCAUGUGCCUGUUCAAUAUACCGGGCCAACAAAUAAAUUAUAUUACAUAGACAAACUAAUUCAUAACAGGCAAGAAAGUCUACGGAUUGUGAUAAUAGAAAUAAAGACAACUGUAGAUAUGAACAGCAUCAGAAUAAUUACCAACUCCUUGCCAAUGUCCAGCUAUGAAUCCUUCUUAAUCUGUCUUAUGUAACAAUAAAUACAAUUUAGAGGAACAGAGAGGAAAAAAAGUGGUAGGAAGAUAAGUUCAAUACCAAUACUACCAAUAAUACCAACACUAAUACCAAUAAUGGUAACAGUAGCAGAAUAAAGGAAGGAAAAAAAUCAUAAAACUGGCUGAUGCUUGGACAUUGUUUUAGUUCCAUAUUCAGUUUGUUCUGUUGUUUGACCCCAGUUACGGUGAAACAAAAUCAAACAAUUGGAAUUAAAUGUGGCUUUACUUGACCGGCUGCUGAUCUUGCUCUGAGAGUUUUAAGACAUUUCUUCCUGCUCUGAUUGGUCGCUUGUGACUGGCGGGAGCAAUGUAUUUUUUUGCAAGAAGCAAGCAGAAAAGCUCAAUGGUUUCUUACAAACCAUUGAGCUUUUCAUAGUGACAGUUUUAGCAAAUAUGUAAAAACAACAACAACAAAAAACGUAAAGAAAAGUAACCUACUGCAACGUCAAUGAAUCCCUGACGUAUCAAAUUUAAGCAGACGCUCGUUUAAUUUCGUACUCACAGAAAAACAGAUGUUUAAUGAAGCAAAGAGUCUCGCUGUGUUCUUGAGCUAAACCAUGAAGAGGAGGAAGGAGAAACAUAACAUCAACACCACUUCACCAGUAGUUUAUCUUCUGCUGUUUUUUUAUUUUUCACACAGCCACAACUUUCCUCAGCAGAACCUUUCUUUGUCUGCUUCUGGCAUUUCCUGCAUUUGAACCGCACGCACAUAUUCUGAUGGUCUGGUUGUUUACAGAAAUCAUUCACAUCAGUCAACUUGAAAGCCACGAUGCCACCGCAAGCAGCAUUAGUGAUACGCCAAACAAUCUGACAAACAUUUUUUUUAAAAAAGGAAUAGGUCUGGAAAAACAGCUUCCUGUCAGGAGGACGUUCUUUCUCAUUUGUGCAUCAACGGUAAAGACACCCGACCCAUUGUCUCUCCGAGAAACCAUAAAACAUCCGCCGACACCUAUUGUUUGGACUCCCAGAGGAGUCGUUACCAUGUUCAAGUGCAGGCCUUAAAAAAAGACAACAACCAAUCAUCCGACGGAUUCCUCUUUACAACUCUGUGACUCGUCAGAUUUUUCGAAACCGUGUCUCCCGCACUGGGAGUGGAUUACAAGCGAAAGCAGCCUCCUGUUAUUCCCUUUUCACCAUGUGUUGUAAAUGUUUACACCAAGGGAGGCUAUUGAGGAGCAAGAGAUUAAAAAUGUGGUUGAGUAACUUCCCCCUUUUCCUCAUAUGUGUGGCUUGUGGUGAGUAAUUUUGUCAAUGACGGUUAACAUAAAAAAAAAAAAGAGCAAUCUCAAGAGUGAGAUCAGUCUGUCUCUCAAUUCAUAAGUGAAUAUGAGUUUUACUUUGUGUUUUGUUUUUUUUUUGUCACAUGACUGUUUGCAUUGACGGUAAAGUUGUGUCCUGGUUCAUUGAAAAUCUUUGAUACCCUGAUGAAGACUCGAUGAUGUUCAAUGAGAUACAAGUGACUGAAGAAUCCAAUCCAGUAGCAGGAAAUCGGUUCCCAAUCAAAGAUCAAUGAGCUCUCUGGCGUUCUAAUCUAAUCUAAUGCUGCUCAUCAAUAGUUUUUUUCCAGACAAUUGUGUCAAUCACAAGGGCAGAAACACUCAAGAAAUGAACAAACUUUCAAUAUUGUUCAAUCUGAAAUGAUUCAACGUGGUUCAAUAAAGUUUUUCAGAUUCUCCUGAGGUACAUAUCGGGUUUUUUGGGUUUUUUAAAGCCACAAAAUAGAACUUCUGGCACUGUUUUGUUUCUUUCCAACAAUGACUAAAGGAGAAUAUCAGUUUAUAAUCACAAAGUGGAGGAUAAUGUAUAUCCUAUUCCCAAUGUAUGAUGUCAGGAAAGCCACAACAACAUGUACUUAUAAAUCCUUGCUUAGAAAACUAAACAUCUGUAGUACGUUCCUUUAACCUCAUGAGCAUUUAAAAACAUUAAAAAUAAAUGUAAAAAAAUAGUUUAUUAACCUCUGUUGUUUGGUUAGUGGUGUUUCGCUUGACGUGGUAUCUUAGUCAUGCUGACUAUUCAAAGCAUGUCACGCUAGAGCCACAUUCACCCACUAGAACCCACACAUCUAGGUUUAGACGAAUGCCUCCCCACAGGGACACAUUCGCAUGAAGCCUGGGAGGAAGCUGAAAUCAAACCCGCAAGAACACAAAACCUUACAAAGUAUUUUUGGUCUAGUUUCUAGAGCGAAUAUCUCAGUACAUUUGAAAUAAGACGCACGACUUUUCAGUGCGAUGUAGGAGCUUGUGUUGUCUUGUUGCAAGUGCACUAAGAUAUUUUCACUAGAAACUAGACCAAAACUGCUUGGUAAGAUUUAGUGUUUUUGUGUGGGUAAUAUUCUGCCAAAAUAAUGUGCAGGAUUUUUAACUGCAUGCUUAAAAUAAGAUGGGUGGAACAGAUGCCAUUAUUGGCAAAGGUUUGUCCUAAUUUGUAAAGAAUCAUCUUUAAUUAAGCACUGAAUUGAGUAAUUUGAGUAAAGAUGAAACAAUGGAGCUUAAUUAAACGCAUAAAAAUGACUCAAAAUCUUGAGUAGCUUAGAAGAUUCAACGUUUCAUCCCACCACCAGUUUUGUUUUGUUUUUUCCCCUCCAGGCAAAAUCUACUGAUACAUCAAUUGAAUCACAAGCUUUACUGUCCCUCGCUUCUUCGCAGUAAAUUGUCAAAUUACAGUCUUCAAGCCAGAAAAGCACGCAUUGUCCAGUAAAUUCCUGGAAGCUAGCAUCACGGCUUUAUGAGCACGAUAGAUGGGCCGAGGAUCUGGACGCGCUGCUCGGCUCGUUGUCAGCGAGAAAGACGGACGGUCCCCGUGAGCUGACCUCACGACUUGGCACCCUGCAGAAUGACUCAACAGAUAUGAAAAUGUUGCACAGACACAAGGAUGGCUACUAAAUCAUCCACAUCUGGAUAAGAGCUAGAGGAAAGGAGCUGAGUCCUGACUCGCUAUAACUCAUAACCCGGCAGAGUAUCAGGUUCGGCUCCGAGCAGGUGACGGGUUGAGGUGAUUUUGGCGGGACGAGCGAGUCCUCUGGCAAAGCUGGGAGAAGAGCGGGCACAGAGACAAGAAGGAUUCUCGCUUAACCCCAUAUUUUAAGAUGUAAGGGAUCACAGACGCCUGUGCUCCAGUCUUCUAAAUCAAUUUUCUUUGAAACUCUCGCUGUUUGUCUUCCUUUCCUUCUCUACGUCCUCCCGUCUUGUCUAAAGACACAUUGUGCUAGUCCUUAGCAAUAAACUGCUGACUGAAGCUAAUUCCUGCUCCAGAUAAGCGUCACCUGUCUGCGUCACUGACUUUUUGUUGCGGUCAAGAUAUAAAUAAUAGCUUCUCAGUCUAAAGUUUAUGCACUAACAAGCUGUUUUCUGCAGCGAUGAGAUGUACCACAGAAUGAAAAAAUAUAACUCUUAAUAAAACUUAGCGUCCGUCAGAAACUUUGUCUUGUAAAAAAA